UUACGGUCACACCACAUUGAAACACCAGUCCCCAUACAAUCACUGAAGUUAAGCAACAUUGAACCUGGUUAUUACCUAGAUAGGUGAUCACUUGGGAAUACCAGGUGCUGUAAG